AUAUUUUAUUUUGAUAAAUUAUUACAAACAGUGACACAGUACAAAUAACAAGACAUCAACAUUUUGGCAAGUACAUUGUAUUACAUUUAGUUUCCCUUGAUGUGAAGAAGAACUAGUUUUUGGCACUGCAGAGCAUAGGUGAGAAAUAAAACAGAAAAUCUGUUAUCCCUAUAUAGAAUAAAAACUUUUAUAGUAUAGUUUGAAUGCAAGUACUGGAAAUUCAGAAAUCAUUGCAAUAUUUUUAUUAUUAAAAAAAAAGUGACAUUAUCAGAUUCACUAUUCUAUAAAAUUGAUAAUUUCAGUAAUAAUUUUUCCUUUACCAGAUUGAUAUCAGUAAUAAUUUCUGAAUUUACAGUACAUGUAUGUUGGAAUAUCAUAUUUUGAAAUAUAUAUAAUGGUCGCAAAUAUCACAAAAAAUGAACAAAACUAUAAUUUAAAAUAAACUAAUACUACUUUUAAUCAAAAGGGGAGAUCUAACGAUUUAUCUAUAAUCCUUAAACUUGGAUCCAUAAUUCUAAGAGGGUGCUUCCUUAUGUUUUAUUCAACAUAAAUAACAUAUGGCAGUGAAAAAUAAAUAAUAAAGGAGUAGGUCCGGUAAGGGCCGAUUUUGGCCUCAAAUUUCUUGUUCAUUUGACGAAAGAAUUUGGACACUUUUUAAACACUUAAGUUGUCUAUUUAUUUGAUUCCAUUAGUAUAUGGAAAGAUUUUAACUGAUUUGGUCAUUAAAAA
rnacentral:lncRNA from 1 species